rfam:Nonlabens marinus S1-08 DNA, nearly complete genome.
CAACCUCUGACGAUACUCGUGAAUGUUG